AGCAUGUGGUUUAAUUCGAUGACUACGCGAGGAACCUUACCUGGGCUCAAAUGUAUGUUGACGUAUUCUGAAAGGGAUACUUCUUCGGACAAUAUACAAGGUGCUGCAUGGUUGUCGUCAGCUCGGUGCCGUGAGGUGUCCGGGUUAAGUCCCAUAACGAGCGCAACCCUAUCAUUAGUUGCCAUCAGGUCAAGCUGGGGACUCUAAUGAAACUGCCUACGCAAGUAGUGAGGAAGGUGGGGAUGACGUCAAAUCAGCACGGCCCUUACGUCCAGGGCUACACACGUGCUACAAUGGCCGGUACAAAGGGCAGCUACCUGGUGACAGGAUGCUAAUCUCAAAAGCCGGUCUCAGUUCGGAUCCGGAGUCUGCAACCCGACUCCGUGAAGCUGGAAGGUCGCUAGUAAUCGCGACAUCAGCCAUGGCGCGGUGAAUACGUUCCCGGGCCUU
rnacentral:rRNA from 1 species